rnacentral:lncRNA from 1 species
AACAAAAAAAAAAAAAAAAAAAGAGCUGCGAAGCAGCAUUUAAGAAAAAACACAACAGUUGCUUCCCUCUUCUCGCUCCCAAAAAUCUCCAUUAAACCACCAAAAAACAACCACUUUUCCACCAGCCCCAAAACACCUUCUUCCUCCUCUAAAACACCAUCAUUUUAUCCCCAAAAUUGCAGUCAAACCAGGUAGCAAAACUGCUGAACAAACUAGUGCAAAAUCCCAGUGAAACACCUCAUUUUCAACUCCAAAAAUCCACGAAAACACAGCUCGAAAACCAGCUGUAAAUUCGUCAAAAAAACACACCUAAACUCCAACCAAAAGCAGUCUAAAAACUAUCCAAAAUUCCAGCAAAAAUGCAACCAAAACACUGUUCAAAAAACAGCCAUUACACCACCUGAAAAUAGACCCCGAAAUAAUCCAUGGAGAAGUCGCCGGCGAGUUCCCGUUCGAGUUGCCGGUGAAAUUCCGGCACUGCUACGUGUUUUGUUCAAGUCCAUGUCUGUUAGUCGAGCUAGAAGCAACGGUUGAAAUGCACUUGAUUUGAAGCUCUAUUUUUCAAUAUAAAAAGAAGAAUCCUAAGGUUCAGUUCUUUCCAUUUCUUCUGUUUCUUUGGUUUAUUUGUUGGGAUUUGCUUGUGCUUGUUUGUCAUACAUUCCAAUAUUGUUAUUUUGAGGUGAUUUGUGAAGGUUUUCUUUCAGAUUUGUUUGAGCUGAGUUUUGUUUGAAUUUUUUGUUUGCCUUUGUGUCAUGUCCAGAAACUAUUUGUCAUGCUUAUUGAUUAUCUUUGGUAAAUGUUUAGUCAUUUUUGUUUGUUAGUAUAAUAAUAAUAAUAAUAAUGAAGAUGUCUGUAGCAAUUGACCGUAUGCAUCUUGGUCAUAAGUAGUUUAUUUUUAAUAUUUUCUUCCAUAUAGAAUGUAAAAAUAUUCAUUUUGCCUUUUCUGCACAUAUAUCAAUAUCAAUUUCAUUUCUACGAAGUUUUAGUCACAAGAUAGAUGCUACAUAGAUAUGUAAAUUGCAAAACUAGAUUGCCAUAUUAGUCAUACAAUUUAUGGUCAUCACAAUUAAAUUUAGAAACCCUCUCGUUAAAAUAAUUUGUGGCGUUCCAUGCCAAUUAAAACUGCAAAAUACGCGGCCCUUGCAUUAGAUUCAUAAUUUAGAUCUAACGAAUAUUAAAUACGCGUAGUAUACUUUAGGCUCAAUUUAGGCUAGUAUUGUGAUUAUGCACACGUUCGCGUAAUACAAUCGCACAUUAAAUUAUUAAAAGACUCGAGGGAUGCAUUCGCGCAACUUCAAUCAAGAUUUUCUUAAAUAAAAUAAACAAAGCGUUAUAAAUUGUGGAUACGUUUGCAUGACAUGGUUUUUGACGCACCAAAGGAAAAGAGUAUACGUACGCGUAACUCGAUUCUUUAAUUACGAAUAAUUCAAAUGUUUUUAUAAGUGGUGAAAAGAUAAUUACAUAUAGGUCCUAAAAAUGAGUAGUUAAAUAAUUAAGCCAAAUAUAAAUUGCUAAGCGACCGUGCUAGAACCACGGAAUCCGGGGGUACCUAACACCUUCCCUCGAUUAACAGUAUUCCUUAUUGAGAGUUUCUGGUUCGCAGACUUCAAAAGGAAAGUUUAAAUUUCCUUGAUUUGGGAUUUAAAAUAAACCGGUGACUUGGGACCCCGGUUAACAGAAUUCCUUACUUAGAAUUUCUGGUUCGCAGACCCUUUUAAAGUAAAAACUUCCUCGAUUUUUGGGAUUUAAAAUAAAACGGUGACUUGGAACACCGUAAUUUAUUCCAAGUGUCGACUCUGUAAUUAAUUAAAUAACCCCAUAUCGAAUAAUGUCACUUUAAUUGAAAAAACUCCCGGUAUAUGCUACCUUCGGGUGUGUAAAAAACGAGGUGAGACACUCAUGCUCCUCCUGACUGCGGGAGUAUAUCAAGAUGUCAUCAAUGAAUACAAUCACAAAAAAAUCCAAGUAGGUCCUGAACACUCGGUUUAUCAACUCCAUGAAUGCUGCUGGGGCAUUGGUAUACCCGAGCGACAUGACCAAAAACUUAUAAUGCCCAUACCGAGUGCGAAAUGCUGUGAUAGGGACAUCAGACGCCGUAAUCCUCAGCUGAUGAUAACCAUACCUCAAAUCUAUCUUCGAGAACACCCCGGCACCCUGAAGCUGGUCGAAUAAAUCGUCAAUCCUUGGCAGUGGAUACUUGUUACUUAUCGUCACCUUGUUCAACUACCGGUAAUCAAUGCGCAUCUUCAUCGACCCAUCCUUUUUCUUUAUGAAUAACACUGGUGCACCCUAAGGCAAUACACUGGGUCUAAUGAAACCCUUAUCAAGCAAGUCCUGAAGCUGCUUCUUCAACUCUUUCAACUCUGGCGGGGCCAUGCAAUAUGGCGAAAAGGAAAUAGGCUGAGUGCUCGGAGCCACAUCAAUACAGAAAUCAAUAUCCAUAUCGGGCGACAUACCCGGCAAGUCUAAAGGUAAAACCUCGGGGAACUCCGAACAAUAGGAACACAGUCAAUAGAUAGAACCUCUGCGCUGGAGUCGCGAACAUACGCCAGAUAUGCUAGACACCCCUCUCGACCAUAUGUUGAGCCUUGACAUCUGAAAUAACACUGUGGGUGGCAUGACCUGAGGUCCCUCUCCACUCAAGUAGAGGCAAGUCUGGCAAAGCCAAGGUCACGGUCUUGGCGUGACAAUCCAAUAUAGCAUGAUAUGAGGACAACCAAUCCAUCCCCAGUAUAACGUCGAAGUCCACCAUAUCUAAUAGAAAUAAGUCGACACGGGUCUCAAGACCCUCAAACACCACCACAAAUGAACGAUGCACUUAGUCAACCACUAUGGAAUCACCAACCGGUGUGGACACAUAUACAGGAACACCCAAAGCCUCACUCGGCAUGAUCAAAUAGGGUGCAAAAUAGGACGACACAUAAGAAUACGUUGAUCCCGGAUCAAAUAAUUCUGAAGCACCCCUAUCACAGGCCAGAAUAGUACCUGUAAUCACACAUCUGAUGACACGGCCUCUGGCCUAGCCGGCAAGGCAUAACAACGAGGCUGACCCCCUCCUCCCUGAAUUACGUCCCUGGGAUGAUCUACUGUGGGCUGGCCCCUGCCUCUGGCUGUCUGAGCUCAUCAUUUAUGCUCCCUACCUCCACCCCUAUGGCCUCUACCCCCGCCUCUAGCUGGCCGGGCGGCUUGUGGAUCACCUGCUGCCUGAAUCAUGGGACGAAGACCCUGUUAUUGUGACUGAGCACCCCUCAACCUCAGGCAAUACCUUCGGAUGUGGCUGAGAUCUCCACACUCAUAACACCCAAUAGAAUGCAGCAACUGAGAAUACUGGGGCUGACCCUGACGCCCUGAAUGACCUCCUCGAAAGCUCUGGAGCGGUGGUGCACUGAUGGGCUGCUGAUCAGAGUAGUGCUGCUGAGAACCGCUAUCUCCCGCAGUACCAUGUGAAACCUGGAGUGCUGACUGAAAAGGCCUCUGAGGGUGGCCUCUGUCAUAUGAAUCCCUACCUCCAGAUGAGGUACCACUGAAUCUACUAAAAUGUCGAGGCCUCUUAUCUGACCCCCGACCACCUCCUCGAGCGAGUGCCAUCUCUACCCAACGGGCCGCAUUGGUCGCCUCCAGAAAGGAAAUAUCACUACCAAAUCCCAUGGACAUCUGAAGACGAAUCGGCUGAAUCAAUCCAUCAAUGAAUCUCUGGACCCUCUCUCGUUCUGUAGGGAGUAUCACAACUGCAUGGCGUGCCAAAUCAAUAAAUCUAGUCUCAUAAUAUAUAACUGUCAUGGAGCCCUGAUGGAGGCGCUCAAACUGCCUACAAACUGAUCCAAUGUCAAAGCUGGAGACCCUACUGGUCUAGAUAGGUAAUAAUCUCUCUACCAAGUCUUGGCGGAUCCUGCAAGCCUGAAGGUGCAAAAAUCGACCCCAUUAGUCUCCACCAUACCCAUAGUCCUAAGGAUCUCAUGACAAUUGAAUAGGAAAUCCUGGGGAUCCUCCGAUGAAGUACCACUGAAAGUGGUGGUAAAAAUCUGGGAGAACUAAUCAAGUAUCCACAAAGCAUCUGAUGACAUGGCCACUACAUCUCCAGCCUGAGCUGUAAUACUUGUCUGAGCGGCCAUUGCAGGUUGAACCACUACAACCUGAGUCCAGGGAGCUACCUGCUCCGGAGUACGCGUAGCAGGAGUCUGAACCCCUCCUCCAGCCUGAGAAGUGGCUGGUGCUACUGGUAUCAAACCCGCUCUAGCGACACUGUCCAUAAAGCCUGCUAUACGGAUGAGAGAAUCCUGGAGAUCCAGGGAAAACAUAACCCCUCCUGGGACAUGAGCUGGACCCACUGGGGCUGUUGGGGCUGGAACCUCCUCAUCAAAGUCAAUAUGAAGCUCCACCUCUGGAACUGCUGCUUGGGGCUAUGCUCUGCCCGUACCAUGGCCUCUGGCACGGCCUCGGCCUCUGCCCCUCGUAGGAGCUGCUGCGCAGUAGAAGAAGACGCACGUGUUCUCGCCAUCUGUGAAAGAAUAGAGUAGAACGACAAUCAAUAUUAGAGAAACAGAAUCCCACGACAAGAAUGAACAAAGUGAAAUUUUUCCUAACUGUGUAGCCUCUGGGGGAUAAAUGCAAACGUCUCUGUACCGAUUCCUCAGACCCUACCGAGCUUGCUUGUGAGUUGUGAGACCUAAGUAACCUAGUGCUCUGAUACCAACUUGUCACGACCCGAAUUUCCCACCAUCGAGGUCGUGAUAGCGCCUACAAUCGGAGCUAGGCAAGCAACCCUUUUUAAAUAUUUCACAAAGCUUUAAUCUAAAACAGUAUAAUAAACUGAAAUAAAUAAGUAAAAAUAUGCGGAAGACUUUCAACAAAAACCAUAGAAAAGUGCGGAAGUUUAUAACAUGUCUCUACCCAGUAUAUGGUGUCACUACUCACGGACUAAUAAAAGAGUACUAAAAACAUCAGUCUGAAAGAAAAUAGAGGACACUUCGAGCCCGCGGACGUCACCCAAGCUACUUAAGAGUCUAUAGACUGAAGGUCGGCUCCUGGUCUAGAACUGUUGUGGCGGUUCGUAAGCUAUCUUCUGACCUGUGCACAAAAGGCACAGAAGUGUAGCAUCAGCACAACCGACCCCAUGUGCUGGUAAGUGCCUGGCCUAACCCCGGAGAUGUAGUGACGAGGCUCGACAGGACCUACCACUAAUAACUUGUACAAAUAUAUACAAUAACAGGAGAAUACGCUAUUGUAAAUAGUUAAAGGGGGGAGCAUGAUUUGGGGUACAACGAUUCAAAUAGAGAAAUCAGCUAACAAGAAUAAAAAUGGAGCGGAUAACAACUGAUAAAGAAAUACUGAAAAGCUUACUGCACAAAUCAUUAUAUUCAGUCCAUAUUCUCGUUGUGGCGUGCAACCCGAUCCUCAACAUUUAAUACUGUUGCGGCGUGCAACCCGAUCCUCGACAAUUAAUCUGUUGCGGCGUGCAACCCGAUCCUCGACAAUUAAUCUGUUGCGAUGUGCAACCCGAUCCUCAAUAUCUAGUACCGUUGCAGCGUGCAACCCGAUACUCAAGUGCGAGGGGAGUAGCAUCAAAAUACCGGGUGUCCCGACAAGGGAAUGCAAUUAACAGCCCAAAUAUCCCGGCAAGGGAGAAUUCAAAAUAUAUUUAAUUCCGAGCAUGGGAAAUGAUCACAUAAUUUCCACUUCUAAACACGUUAGCUACCAACAAAUUCUAUGUCGAGCUAAUGCUCCAAAAUUAUACAAAAUCAUUAUUUAUCCUCAACCGUUCAUAUCAUGUGAACUAAAUCAAUUCCAACAAGAAUUUAUAUCAUAGCAUUCAAAAUAACACAAUUUAAGACCCACAGUCAUGCUAGACUCGGGUGCAUAGAUAACCUCACCAUGCCUAUGCACCGACUCCACAUAGCACGUAACAAUAAUAUUCUAAUCAUAUUCCCUCAAGCUAAAGUUAGAUCAAACACUUAACUCGGUCCAAAAAUAGUAAUCAAGCCUCUAACACAGCUUUUCCUUUAGAAUCCGAUUCUGAAACAAUGAUAUCUAGCCAUAAUUAGUUCAAUAUAAUCAAUAAUUGCUCAAAGACACCAUUCCAUAGCAUAGAAAUGAAUUUCCUAUCAUACUUCCAAAAAUGCCAAAAUCCGACAUCGGGCCCACAUGGUCCAAACUCUAGGCUCGAACCAAAACCCAAUCACCCAUAACUCCAGGAGUUCAAACAUGUAAUUUGUUUUACGAUUCGACCCCAAAUUGAGGUUGAAUCGCUCAAAUUUCCCAAAAACCUAACUCUACCCAAAAGCCCUAAUCUCUACUUUGAUACGUGAGGAAUCGAUGUUAAGAUUACUUACCCAAAGAGUUAUGGAGGAAGAGAAGCUUGAGACUCGUCAAUGGAGGGUGAAGAAGAAGGGUUCGUGAAUAAAGAGUGUGAAAUCCCAUCACUGUUAUGUUUUUAGGCUUUUAAAAUCACUAGGCGAAAAUUGGUCUAUGCGGUCGCGGGGCAACUGAUGUGAUCGCAUAGAGGAGUGGGAAGUUAGCUUAUGCGAUCGCAGACAAGGUCAUGAGAAUGCAUAGAAGAAAGGGAAGUCAGAAUUUCAAGUGAGGCUUAAUGUUGUGCAAUCGCGUAGAAGGAGAUGCGAUCACAUUGAAGAGGCUGGCCAAGCUAUGCGAUCGCGGGGGAGCUUACGCGAUCGCAUAGAAGAAAUUUGGGGCACUUAAAGAGGACCCUAUGCGAUCGCAGGACUGGUAAUGUGAUCGCAGAGGACAAAAUCCCUGAACACCAGAAACAACAUUUCUGCAAUUACUCUAAGGCCAAAAACACCCCGAACCACCUCCAAAAUCACUCUCAAGCCCUCGGGGCUCCCAACCAAACACACACGCUAACUCAAUAUCAUCCUACGAAGUUGCUCGAGCAAUCAAAUCGCUAAAAUAACAUCAAAAUCAAAGAAUCAACCUCCAAAUCUCAUAAUUUCAUUUCAAAGUUCAUAACUUCUAAAUUUUCCAUUUUUACUCCGAAACACGUCAAACGACGUCCGAUUUCGACCAAAUUUCACAGAUAGCGCUUAACGCUCAUUUAAGAUCUGUACCGACCAUCGGAACUAAAAUACGAGCCCGAUAUCAUUACUUUGUGACUCAUUUCCAUUUCAAUUUCCCAUAUUAUUUCAUAUAAACAAUUUCUUUCAAAAAUUCCGUACUCAGGCCUGGGACCUCGGAUUUCUAUUCCGGGAAUAUGUCCGGGUCCCAUAUUUUCCUACAGACUCUUUGGGAGCGUCACAUCACGGGUCCGGGUCCGUUUACCCAAAAUGUUAACCAAAGUCAACUAUAUCAAUAUUAUUAUAAAAAUUCAUAGUGUUUAACACAGAAUUCAUAUAUUUUCACAUAAACAAUUAUCAUGCUUCGCGCCCGGACUGCGCAUGCAAAUCAAGGUAACCAAGUAAGAGGUUUCAAGGCCUCGGAAGCAGGAGAAAGGGAGAAUUACGGUAAUGACCCUUUGGGUCGUCACAAUGAUAUUGAGUUAGCAAUUGUUGCACUAUAUUUUGCACAAGUCAAAACAAAAUACAACCAGUGGUUCUUCUGAAGAUCAUGAAAAGGAGUUCCCACCUAAUAUUUAAGGUAUGUUAGGGUACCUAUAUGUUUGUAAAAAUUUAUUAUCCUAAUAGUAUGGUAACCCAUGAGAUUUGGGUAAGGGUUCUAGUUAUUCCAAGUGAACGGUGUUAGGCAUCUCUUAAAAUCUACCCGAGGUAGCUCCUUAAACUUAGACUAGGUUAGAGGAGAGAAAUAUCUAUUUUCUGGUUGAUCAGUGGUUAUAAAUUGAUAUGUGGGGUUUAUGAAAACGUUUUAAGUCUUGUUUGAAAACUAUCUAUUACUUUGAGAACGUAUAUUUUCUUCGAAAUGGCAAAACCUUUGAAUCUUUAUUAUACAUUUUGCGAAUGAAUGAUUGUUCCAAAAUACUUUGUAAUCAAAGCUCCUCAUUUUUUCAUAAUUGUUGAUCUAGUUUCUUUUGAAAUUUCUUGUAUGUGAUUGCGUUUGUGUUCAAACAGUUUGUUUGUCCAAAAACCUUUUGGGUGAGUUCCUCUAUUAGACUUGAUUCAAAUCAUUUCCUUUUAAAGAUUCAUCCAGCCUUGGUGUUGCCUAAAACAAAAAUAAACUCAUUAAAAGCUAAAAGGAAGAUUAACUAUCAAGAACAACUAACUUCGAAAACGUUCAGAUUUUUUAAAAGGCUUCAAGAUUGUUUAAAAUAAAUGACUAAUCUUUCAAAUUAUAAGUACCCUUUACUUUUUAGAUUUUGGCUUCCCCUAAGGUCUACCUAAUCAAUCAAACAUCCACAAAUAUUCAAUAACAGCGUAAAGGGAGGGAAUUGGGCUCUUCUACAUUGGGCUGGCAAAAGCAAGACAGUCCCAGAUUGACUCUAGCAGCGGCAAACUCCAACAAGCGAGGAAAGCAGUCCAAUUUCCCUGAGCUUGGGCCUGAUUUUCAGAUGAACUCAACAAGCCUAAUCAAACAUGUAUACAAGAAAAAAAAGAAGAUAAUUAGCAUACAUAAACAUAGGAUGAAGUAAGACAAAAUUAUAACAAGUAAUAACAACAAAGAUCUAAGGAAUACAAUAAAAUUAAUUUUUCAUUUUGUGCUAACCCAAUGAAGAUUAGUCAAACUCAGUGACUAAAGCUUUAGGUGAACCAUAUUUAUUUAUGAAAUCCCUUUAUGGAUCCCUGAUAGUUAAGAGUUAAUGAGGGUCUCAAGGACACCGAGCAAUGCUUGUGCCUGGGAAGGGUACGUCAACAACAAAACUAGACUCACACCCAAAUACCCUUGAUCGUUGACUCUUAUUGUAAUGACCCGACCGGUUGUUAUGUAUAAUUUCGCCUUAUUUCCCCUCUUGUAUGGUUCAAAGAUAUGUGUUAAUGAUUUUAACUUAUGUAGUUGAUUAGUUUAAUUCCGGGAAUACUUUAGGUUGAUUUGGAUCCUUUGAUUCUCGUCUAGAAGCCUAAAUUGUUUAUAUUGACCAAUGGUUAACUUUUAUGAGACCCCAUAACGGUGUUUUGAUGGCUCUGAUAGCUUCGUAUUGUGAUUUUGUACUUAGUCAUAUGCCUGGAAUUGAAUUUGGAAGUUCGUAGGUUGAUUUGUGUUAUUUUGCCUAAAUUUUGUAAUUUGAAGUUGAAAGGUUUGAUCGUAAAUUGAAUUUUAGAUAUCGAGUUCAGAAUUUGGUUUUUUCACUUUUAAUAGGUAUGUUAUGAUAUUUAGAACUUGUCUGUAAAAUCUGGAAUAGUGCGGAGUUGAUUUGAUAGGAUUCGGCCGUUUAGUUCAAUUCUAGAGGUACUUGAAAUUUACUUUGAAAUUCAUACAUUUUGGUGUCCGAUUCAUAGUUCUAGAUGUUAUUUUGGUAUUUUAAUCAUGCAAGCGCAAGCAAAUUUGUACGAUAUUUUUAUACUUGUGUGGAGAUCUGGUUUGGAGCCUCGGGAGUUUGGAUGAUUUAUGGACAUGUUUCAAAAUGUUUUGGACUGAAAAUGGAAUUGUUGGUGUUGAUGGUACUCUGUUAUCGCAUUUGAAAGCACCGGCCUUGCAACUGUGAAGGGUACAGGGGGUGGUCAGAUGUCGCAAAUGCGACUUCCCCUUCGCAUUGUGAUGUCAACAGGACUGAGGGCUAGUUCGCAAUUGCGAGUAAUUUGCCGCAUUUACGAUGGUAACCAGCUUCACAAUUGCGAAGCCUUUGUCGCAAUUGUGACUUCUGUUAAGGUUGUCAAGGUUUGAAAAUGCUAUCCCUAAUUCACAGUUGUGAGGGUUCACAUUGUAUCGCAAAUAUGAACCCUGUGUCGCAAAUACGGCAUCUGCAGCUGGUCAUAAGGGCUGGGAAAUAGGAUUUUUCAACAUAUUCUCUCAUUUCAGAACCCUAGACUCGGUAAGAGGCGACUUGGAGAGGGGAUUUUCUUAAUACAAAUAUUGGGUAAGUGAUUCUAAUAAAUUACAACUAUAUUGCAUGAUCAUAUCUUAGAUUUAACAUCAAACUCAUGGGAAUCAAAGAGGAAAUUUUGGGAAAUUGUGUCAAGUUUUUGAAAAAAAUUAGAAAGUGAGCUUUGAGAGUCUAUUUGGACCCGGAGUUUGAAACAAAGCAUAUAUAUGGACUCGUGGGGUUAUGGGUAGUUGAAAUCUGCCGUUGGACCUAGGUUUUGACAAUGUGGGCCAAACCAUAUAUAUGUACUCGUGGGGUUAUGGGUAGUUGAAAUCCGUCGUUGGACCUGGGUUUUGACACUAUGGGCCCCGAGUUGACUUUUGAUGAUUUUUUGAGAAAAUUAUAAAGGCCAUAGCUUUAUCUAUUGUAAUUAUUUUCUCUUGCGUUGUUUGAUGAUAUUAAGUCAAUUUUGGUUGGAUUUGAGACGUGGGAAGACAAAUUUUAGGGUAAAGGCUAUUUCCGAGAGCUGAGUUGGCCUAGUCUAGGUAAGUAUCUUGCCUAACUUUGUGCUAUGUGAAAGCCAUGUACACAAGGUGACGAGUGGGUACAUGAAUUGUAUCUAGUAUUUGACCGGUUUAGGCUACAUAGACUCUUUCCAUGCCUUAAUUGAAUUGUCAUAUCAUAUUUUAAAUUCUCGUAGCCAAUCUCCUUUUAUUUGGGUUAGUCUAUCCUUACAUGCCUUGUUUGACUUUGUUAACACUUGUUCUACAUCUUGCUUGAUACUUUGCUCUUAUGCUUUAAUUGAAGUGUUUGCCUCUUUCAUUAUUACAUGUUAUCUCUUCCAUUAUUGACUUAUCCUUAAUUGAAGUGAUUGCUACAUGUUAUCUAUUGCAUUGUUAAUUUAUCCUUACUUGAAGUCAUUGCUACAUGUUAUCUCUUUUACUGUUGACUUAUCCUAAUUUGAAAUCCUUGUUACAUGUUAUCUCCCCCAUUUUGAUUUAUUCUUAUUGAUAUCGUGAUUACAUAUUAUCUCUCUUUUUUCAGUUAUUGGUGUUGAGGUUGUGAAAGUUGUUAUCACGUUGAGGCGAAAUUGUUAAUUAUUGAGAUAUCUUCCUUCUUGUGAAAUUUACAUUCAUUUUUAUUGUUUAUUUUCUUGUACACAUCGUGGUGGAGCCAUGAGCUAAUGCUGUGGAAACAUUGAUAUUGUUAAUUAUCAAGAAGUUGUGGCAUAUGGGCGCUUGUGGUGCAAGUAGUUACUUUGACGUUAUGUCGAUACGCAUGCGACGGUAUAAGGAUAGGGAUUAAUGUGCAUGCAAAGAUAUAAGGUGGGACUUGUGUGCGUGUUGCUAGUAAGAGAAUCACUUGAAGCCACGCGGCGUUGUAAAUUGAGCUAAAGUGCGUGUCGAUAUUUUGGGGAAAAUAUUUUCAAAAGUAUUUAAAUGUAAGGCCCACGCGACGGUAUAAGGAAUGAUUGUGAUUGAAAUUGAGAAAUAUGAAUACGAAGCGGUACCUUGGGAGUGAUUCUUAUUGUAUACGAGGUGGUAACUCGGUUGUGAUUCUUGUUGUAUACGAGGUGAUACCUCGGUUGUGAUUCUUGUUAUACAUAUCAUGCUGAAAAGAGUUAUUGGUGAAACACUUCUUGUUGUGUUAUUCUUCCUUGUCUUAGCAGUUUUAGCCCUCAUUUGACUAUUGUUGUUCUCGUUAAUUGCUUUCUCAUUAAUUUCUUCCUUUAUGUUAUCUCUAUG